rnacentral:rRNA from 1 species
UACGAAGGGGGCGAGCGUUGUUCGGAAUUACUGGGCGUAAAGGGCGCGUAGGCGGCGCGAGCAGUCGAGUGUGAAAGCCCCGGGCUCAACCUGGGAAUGGCGCUCGAUACUCUUGUGCUGGAGUUCGGGAGAGGAGCGUGGAAUUCCCAGUGUAGAGGUGAAAUUCGUAGAUAAUUGGGAGGAACACCGGUGGCGAAGGCGGUUCUCUGGGCCUUACC